GAUAUGACAUGGGCUAUAUAUGGAUUCAAAGUCACCAAAGUGCUCAAGGGCACUACUGAAGUGGGAGAGAAAGUCAAUCUCUACACCCAGAUUCUUGGGACCACCUGUGGAUACAGACACAAUGAUCCCUUCAAUGAAGAUGAAUAUGUUGUUGCAGGGCACCUUGACGGAGAUCGUAUAGUAAUCUCAGUCUGUUCCUUCAUUAAGCCACUACCUCAAGUAACUUCUUCUGAAAUCGAAGGCUUUGAGGGCAGCUACAGCAGCGGCUGCAACUGAACAGUCAGUGGCUAAUCCCCAGGAGAUGCCG